AAGGAAUAUUGGUCAAUGGACGCAAGUCUGAACCAGCCAUGCCGCGUGAAGGAAGACGGCCCUACGGGUUGUAAACUUCUUUUGUACGGGAAAAAACCUCCGGUCGUGCACCGGAGCUGAUGGUACCGUAAGAAUAAGCAUCGGCUAACUCCGUGCCAGCAGCCGCGGUAAUACGGAGGAUGCAAGCGUUAUCCGGAUUCAUUGGGUUUAAAGGGUGCGCAGGCGGAAUGAUAAGUCAGUGGUGAAAUCCUACGGCUCAACUGUAGAACUGCCAUGAAUACUGUCGUUCUUGAGUACACUUGGAGUGGGCGGAAUGUGUCAUGUAGCGGUGAAAUGCUUAGAUAUGACACAGAACACCGAUCGCGAAGGCAGCUCACUAAAUUGUAACUGACGCUCAGGCACGAAAGCGUGGGGAUCAAAC
rnacentral:rRNA from 1 species